GGCGACAUGGCCGAGUGGUUAUGGCGCUGUGUUAAGGUUUUUCCGCAUGGAAUAAAACCGCAGUCCGAAAGGGCGUGGGUUCGAAUCCCACUGUCGUCA